AAUGUAGACCAUACCACCCUGAAUGUGCCUGAUCUUGUCUGAUCUCAGAAGCUAAUUAAGGUUGGGCCUGGUUAGUACUUGGAUGGGAGAUCACCUGCUGUGUUUUAACCAGAGGACUUCUUAC
rnacentral:rRNA from 1 species